AACCAUCACUCACAAUCAUUCAUAUUAUAAAUAAUAAUAGCAAGGCUAUUAUUGUUGUUUUUCUUUUCUUUUCUUCCACCAUGAUAAUGUAUCUCACUUGCCUCUCAUUAAAAUACUUCUUCAACUUCAAGAUCUCUCAUUCUUUUUCCUCCUUUUUAAUCUCUCUAUAAUGCUUUCCAUCACAUUCCAACAUCGGGGUUGAGUAAUGUAUAUGAUUUCAUCCCUUCUAUUCUUCUCUCCCAACUUUCCCACUUUCCGCAUUGCUCAACAUCAAGCUUGCUCCAGUUUUCGCCAUGAAAUUAGGUUCUCAAGAAAAUGAUUUGGCUUCAUCUCCAGGGAAAAGUGUAAAUGGAAGUUUCAGGAAAUUUAGAUCUGGUUUUCUGCGAAGUGAUUUUGACUCAUCACCAGGGCAAAGUUUGGAUGGAAGUUUCAGAAAGCCUAAUUCUGUUAUAUCUGCCCACAGUAUAUCUGGUGUUUCAGCUUCAAGC